rnacentral:tRNA from 1 species
UGCAUCAUGGUGUAGUGGUUAUCACAUCUUCCUUACACGCAGAAGGUCGCCAGUUCGACUCUGGGUGGAGUCA